rnacentral:lncRNA from 1 species
UAAAGGGUAAACCCUGUCACACCCCUUUUUUCAACUCCCAAAAAAAAUUCAUUUAAGGUUUGAAAGAGUUUUUAUUAUUAGGUGACAAAAGAUGAACAUUUGUUUCGAAAAAGGAUUAUUUACAUUUCUGUUCAGAGUCACCACUUGACAUAAUCCAGUGUGCCAAGUCACCUUUGGAAAAUCCUUUUCAAAACGAUUUGAUUCUUUAAAUUGGUUUGCGAACAGAGAUUUCGGCUAAGGAAUUCUGUUGACCGAGGGAAAGGUGUUAGGCACCCCUCGAUCCCGUGGUUCGACCACGAUCGCUUGAUGGAGCAUAUCGGCUAAUUUGACACUACAAAAUGUAUAAACCACACAAAACAAACGAAACAACCAAGUAAACAAAUCAAACAAAAUUCAAAACUAAAAUAAUAUCCAGUCCGAAUUAUACAAUCCCAAGGAUAGAAGAAUACAAAAAUAUAAAUCCUAUUCUAGACUAAUCCUAAACUAUGCUCCAAUGCUUACCCGAUGCCUCGGGCCUUCAUCAAAACGUCUUCCGCCAACAUAAUACGUCGGUACAUUCCCCGGUGAAUAAAUACAAUGUGUCUCGAGCAUUGCCCAGCUCCAAAUGCGAGAAAGACAAACCAUUUCACAAACAUUCCAAACACUCAUUUAAACAUUCAACGCGUUCAAUCAACACACCACUCCUAAAUUUUGCCUACCCGAACCUAAACAUUUUGCCUAUCCAAUGCGACCUAUCAUGAUACUAUAGAAUUCACAAACUUUAUUCCGAAUUAAGCAAAACAACAACAAACCAAAAUUAAACCAAAUUUACCCUUUUUAUCAGUUUCACAAUUCCACCCCAAAUUCUCUUCUCAACACUAAAUUUUCACAAUUCAUGAUUUCUAUUUCAACAAUCCACAAUCACUUUUCAACGAAAAUUAGGCAAAAAGUCAAUAUCAAAGUAGCAAUUCAUCACCAAUCAAGAUCAAACAACACACGAGAUUCCAUCCAAUGCACCAUAUUCCAUCAAUAAUGAAAUAAAAAGAGGAAAGGAGUAGAAAUGGACCUCAAUGAUGAUUUUAUUUCAAAUAUCAGUCAAUCAAGAAGACGACUCCGCGUGACGAAGAGCCCCGAUUCAGCCUCGAAGAAUACCAUAACUCGACUAUGAACCAACUCCAACACGACAAUCUUCGAAACCUGAUCCCAAAACAAAACCCACGAAGGCCAGUGAGCAAAUCUCAUCUUGGUAUCGAGAAAACUGUGACCCAAGACAGACCACGACGAACCCACCGAGAUAAACAAAACCCAAAUCUAAAUACAUCACAAGCGUUAAAUUGUUUAGAAUCGAUUUAAAAAAAAAUAUUGAUGGUGCUACUACUGUUCACUUAUUUAUGACGGUAUCGCCUGAAAAUCAGAAAGAAACGAUAAGGUAUGUUGGGUUUUCGGCAUGGGGUGAGUUAACUAAAAUGACUGCGCUUAUUUCGGUGAGAAUCUCACCAGGAAAACUUGAGAAUCCCUUUCUCUCUGGUUUUCUCACUCUCCGACCAGUUCUCUCUCUCACUCUCCCCAUUUUCUCAAUUUCUCUCUCAAUCGAUCUCUCCCACUCCUAUCUUUAUUUUCUCCGGUCACCUCACUCCUCGAUUCCCUAUAUCAGUGUAUGUAUCCCCAGAUAUCUUGAGGUUAGUGAGUGUAUCCGUGAGCCAGAAGAAAUGGAAGAUGAUGAUGGUGUUUUCCUUUUUUCGUGAGUGGAAGAAUGGAGUGUCUUGCUGUGAUGGUAUAAUGUGGAGAAGAUGACGUUGGUGGUGUCCCCUUAGUGAUGGGGCCUGUAUGUGUGUAUAUAUCUCUUUUGGUGUGAGAGAUUUUUCUUUUUAUCCAAGCUAACACCGUGUAAAAAAAUAUAGAAGGAGGGGGUAUGGUUACGUGGGAGAGGGUAGGGGUGUUGAGAAUAAGAUUUGUUAGGAUAAAGUUUGUUAGGAUAAGGUUAGGGAUUUAAUUUGUUAGAGAUUUUGUUAAGGGUUGUUAUUUUUUGUAUUUUUGUGGGAUAUAAUCAUACGGAUGAGGGUAUAUAAUAACAAGAGGUAAAAAAUGGAUAAAUUGGGUUUUGGGAGGGACAAAAUUAGGUGUCUACAUCAUGCCCCUUUUUGGGUGUAAACACAAAGUGUUUUCAAAUAAAAAAAAGCAGACAACAAGACCAAAUUUUGACCCGACCAUUAUUCAAAGAAAGAAAUAGAAGGAAGAAGGGCAACCGGGUCUUUGACAUCCUACCUACCCAAGUUAUGAUAGAUUUAAAUCACAGGUAUCUCAAAUGGUUAGAAGGAGAGGAACUAUAC